CUACGGACUUGAUUGUAUUGAGCCUUGGUAUGGAAACCUGCUAAGUGGUAACUUCCAAAUUCAGAGAAACCCUGGAAUUAAAAAAGGGCAAUCCUGAGCCAACUCCGUGUUUUGAGAAGGGAUUCUCGAACUAGAAUACAAAGGAAAAGGAUAGGUGCAGAGACUCAAUGGAAGCUGUUCUAACGAAUCGAGUUAAUUACGUUGUGUUGUUAGUGGAAUUCCUUCU
rnacentral:ncRNA from 1 species